rnacentral:rRNA from 1 species
AUUGAACGCUGGCGGCAGGCCUAACACAUGCAAGUCGAGCGGAGCGGCGGACGGGUGAGUAAUGCCUAGGAAUCUGCCUGGGAGUGGGGGAGAACGUCCGGAAACGGGCGCUAAUACCGCAUACUAUCAGAUGAGCCUAGGUCGGAUUAGCUAGUUGGUGGGGUAAAGGCUUACCAAGGCGACGAUCCGGAACUGGUCUGAGAGGAGGAUCAGUCACACUGGAACUGAGACACGGUCCAGACUCCUACGGGAGGCAGCAGUGGGGAAUAUUGGACAAUGGGCGAAAGCCUGAUCCAGCCAUGCCGCGUGUGUGAAGAGGGUCUUCGGAGUGUAAAGUACUUUAAGUUGGGAGGCGUUACCAACAGAAUAAGCACUGGCUAACUUCGUGCCAGCAGCCGCGGUAAUUC